GUGCAUGUCCGGAAAUACCCGACUUUUCCAUUACAAAUCUUGCACCUGCAUGGUCAUGACUGCUUGGGUGGAUAUCCAAUAUCUUGAGUGGCAGGGGCCCAGUAUUUAGGACAUUCCACCGUCAAUGUGAAAGCUUUGACACCCAUCACAAUUAAGUACAAAGCACACCUGGAGGGACUAUAUUCUAAUUUCUGAUAUCAAUAAAGGUGACAGCCAAUGCAAAAUCUUGAAGUACGUGCUACUGAGGGAGUGACACAGCAACAAGCCUACUAUUGUUAAAAUGUGAGAAAAAUUAUGUACUGUACUCAAGUACAAAAAAGUUUUCAAACUAUAAGAGUGAAAUGAAGAGAAAGAUAACACAAAGAUUUGUGUGGCUACCUUCCCUUUUGCCAUAACUGUUCAUAUAUGUGGGUUGAGAGCAGCUCUGAUCUGGCGAUUUGGUCAAAAAAAUAUGAUUCUGAGAGUUUCUAUUUAGAGGAUGUUUUUGGUUGCUUCUGAAAAAAAUCUUGUAGUGGACUUUCUAUGGGCAGAGGGAGUGAAACCUAAGGAAAUUUACUGUCAGAUGUUGGCUUAGUAUAGACAUAGCAUCAUCAAUUUGUGACAGGUUUACAAGUUGUAAAAAAGUUAAGCACGAAGAACAGAUGCAACCAAAACAGGUCACUCUGGUUACCCAUCAACAUCACACACACACACAAGAGCACAUCAAAAGGGCAGAUGCAUUGACUGAAGAAGAUUAACAGAUAAUGGUACCUAAAUUGGGUGUACAUUAGGAUAUCAGCCAUUGAUCAGUAUUCACCAUAAUGCAUAAUGACUUGGGAUACAGGAAAAUCAUCUUCAGUCUAGUAAAGGAGGUGCUGGGGAUGAAAUAAAGAGAGUAUUGGGAACAGCCAAAACACUUCAUCUUCAAAGAAAUACAAAAGCUAGUUGAAAGAUACAACAAAGGCAUUAUCUUGUCUAGGGACUCUGUAGAAAGUGAUAUGUUGAAUUAAAGCCGUGAAAUGUAUUUUGCCUUAACUUUUUCACUCUCCCUUGUAUACAUGUUUGCGUCUUUUUUCACUUUCUCUUCCCACAAAA